rnacentral:rRNA from 1 species
GAUGAACGCUGGCGGCGUGCUUAACACAUGCAAGUCUAACGGGAAUUCUUUUAUUGAAACUUCGGUCGAUUUAAUUUAAUUCUAGUGGCGGACGGGUGAGUAACGCGUGGGUAACCUGCCUUAUACAGGGGGAUAACAGUCAGAAAUGGCUGCUAAUACCGCAUAAGCGCACAGAGCUGCAUGGCUCAGUGUGAAAAACUCCGGUGGUAUAAGAUGGACCCGCGUUGGAUUAGCUGGUUGGUGGGGUAACGGCCCACCAAGGCGACGAUCCAUAGCCGGCCUGAGAGGGUGAACGGCCACAUUGGGACUGAGACACGGCCCAGACUCCUACGGGAGGCAGCAGUGGGGAAUAUUGCACAAUGGGGGAAACCCUGAUGCAGCGACGCCGCGUGAAGGAAGAAGUAUCUCGGUAUGUAAACUUCUAUCAGCAGGGAAGAUAGUGACGGUACCUGACUAAGAAGCCCCGGCUAACUACGUG